UUGAGUUUUAAAUCCCGGUGUAUCAAGGGAGGCUGUGCCGCCCAACAUGACAUGAUGAAUGUCUAUGAAUUAUUGCAAAUGUAAUUGUCCAUUAGAGGUGGGUCUUUGUGUGAAAUUGUACAAUUUUAUCAUCUUUCCUGUUUAAUAACUUUCAGCCUUUUCAAUACUCCACAAGCUCGACAAUGCCACACUCAUUUAGUUGUAUGUCGGCUACAAUGUCACUGGGUAUCCUAACACUUUUCUGAAACACUAUGAAGUACUAUGGACAAGCUGUGAGGAGAGUAUUUAAGGAAGGUCUCAUCUGUCCCUGAGGGGUAAUAGUGGAAACUACUUCUGGUACUUUUUGUGUUAGAAAUGGUUGUCUGUACCUUUAAUUGGAAGAUGUAUUUAUUUUAAUUUGGAGUACAUGUUUAUGUCACUGCAAAUCACAUGACCACCUGUGCGAGCACUUUCAAGUUGUUUUUCCUGGAUGGCGUGCAAUGUCACUCCAAACUGAAUGAGGCCAGGAAUAAAGGCGCUGUGUAGAUCUGUAUUUAUAAUGUUUGGAUAAAAGUUGUACACAUUAAUACACCAUUCUGUCCCAGUUUGUUGUCCUUCCCUGAAAGUCAAAUGGCUGUCCCAAUGCAUUUAUCCAAUAAAGAAUCAACAGAUAAUUGAUCAAAUUUCUGCUAAUAUGUUUGUAUAUUUUAGAUCUCAUCAUGAGAAUACAACAUCUCUCCUCAUGAAAAUACAGCAUUCUUCCACUUACAUAUCCUAGAUAUGAAUUGUGCAACCUUGAUGUGGGCGCUCAUCCAGCCAACUGGAGGCUACGACAAACACUCAAUAGACUCUUCAGUAGGGUGGAGGGAAUUCUGACAUACUUUGUCAAAGAGCGCCAUCUCAUGGAGAGAAUUGACAUGGUUUCAUAUGAGUUAUAGCUUCAAGUCUCUAUAUAUUUGUGACAGAGCUAAUGUACUAGUGUAAGAUUACACAUCCCUGUAUGAAAUACAAAAUUAAGGUCAAAAUUCAGCCCUACAGUCAAAAUAUGUUUCUUUUUCAUCUUUGGUCAACCAACAAGCAUACAUGACACAA
rnacentral:lncRNA from 1 species